rnacentral:rRNA from 1 species
GACGAACGCUGGCGGCGUGCUUAACACAUGCAAGUCGAACGGAAAGGCCCUGCUUUUUUGGGGUGCUCGAGUGGCUAACGGGUGAGUAACACGUGAGUAACCUGCCCUUUACUUUGGGAUAACUUCAGGAAACUGGGGCUAAUACCGGAUAGUAGCUCCUGCUGCAUGGUGGGGGUUGGAAAGUUUCGGCGGUUGGGGAUGGACUCGCGGCUUAUCAGCUUGUUGGUGGGGUAGUGGCUUACCAAGGCUUUGACGGGUAGCCGGCCUGAGAGGGUGACCGGCCACAUUGGGACUGAGAUACGGCCCAGACUCCUACGGGAGGCAGCAGUGGGGAAUAUUGCACAAUGGGCGGAAGCCUGAUGCAGAAACGCCGCGUGCGGGAUGACGGCCUUCGGGUGGUAAACCGCGUUCGCCUGUGACGAAGCGUGAGUGACGGUAAUGGGUAAAGAAGCACCGGCUAACUACGUG